ensembl:lncRNA
AUUCCCACUCCACUCCAACAAGUGAAAUCUGGCAACUGGUCUAUCAAUCUACCAUGCGGAAUGUUUUGGAGUCUCCAAAACGAGAAUUCAACCCUCAGAGGAAGCGUAAAGAGAAAAGAUGUGUUUCUUGGCUGCAUGAAGGUCGGUCAUAAACACAUCCUGGCAGGGAUUCCAGUUAUUCCUAUCAGAGAGGAAACAGAAGCUUUCAUAGGAAGGCCGCAUUUGAUUACUGAACUUGCAGAAUUUGCUUUAUCUCAUAUGACUCUUUUAUUCUGGUUAAGUAUGAUGUUUAGGCACACUAGUGUCAUGGGUUGGAAUCCCAGAAACUAAUCAUACUGAUGAAACUGAAUGAAUAAUAGGUUGCUUUGUAAUAAAUUGUGUGCCAAGUGCUAAACAAAUGUUAAAAAAUUAAUUUAAAAAUAAUGAAACUAUAUAAAUAUAUGCAUAUGUAGCUAAAGUUGGGUGCAGGUGCAAGAAACAAUGAAAUAAAUGUGGGGAAUAGAUGUUCAAACACUUGUAUUAUCUAAUUUACAAAUGCAAUGGUUGAACCCUUAGGGGUCGACAAACACAUAUAUGCAUUUUGUGGCAUAAUCUCCUGAUAAGGCCGAAAAUAACUUAAAUUACACUUUCAGUUCUGAUUGUACAGAUAAGAGCAAUACAUCAGUCGAAUCUGUAAAGGGUCUAAUUUUAUUUGUAUACACACAUAAUUACAACAAAACUUUGUGCAUUUAUAAAAUAAAGAAAACAAACAGGUUGCGCUGUCUUUUCACAUAACCUGUACACAUUUUACUAGUUAGACUUUUUUCAAACUAUGAUUCCUGACUAAAUGUAUAAUCAAGUGAAACAUUAUAAAGUUUAAUUCACAGCAUCUAAAUGUCUAAAUGUUUUUUUAAUGUUCUAUAACAUAAACAGCAAUAUGAUAUAUAUAAAAAAAGAGUUAUAAUGUCACUAGCCUAAUGUCAGUAAGAAUGGUAAGACAAAACUUUACUGUGAUAGGCUAUUCUCUGUUCAGGAAUAUAGCCAUAUAUAUUUAUAACUAUAUAUAUUGUAUAGGCCUACAUACAAAGCAUGCUUGUGUUUAUGAAUGUAAAUAAGCUUCUGUUCUUGAAUAUCUACUCUGGUGUAAAUAUUUUGAAUGUGUUCCUGUGGCUCAGUAGUAGAGCAUUGUGUUCGCAGCACAAAACCUCUCAGGUCCUCUUCAGAUAUUCAUUAUUUUGACUAAUGAUGAUCUGAGAGGUCAAAAUGUUGGAUUUGUAAAAUAAAAAUUUGGAGCUAUUAUAUUAGUGUGCAGACACUGACUUUUCCCCAUAAAUCUUUGCUCCAUUUCUUCAGAGGUACGCAAUAUAACAUCAUACAUUGUUUCUGCAGCCCUUUCUGCAAUAUCAUACAAAACAUUUUAACAUGAUCUUUAACCCAGAUAUUGUUAAAAUGAACCACAAUAAUAAUAGUAAUAGCAUCUAUACAGUACCAGGGGUCUUCAACCUUUGCCAAACCAAUGACUCCUAAGUGGAAGGAGAUAGAUCAGCAAAAUGUGAGUGUUGUAUUAUAAAUCUGGACUAAAAUAUCAUGUAUUUACAUACUUUGAGAUGCUUACAUCACAAAGUCACUGAAAUAAUCAUAGAUUUACAAAGAUUCCAUGUAUUUUUAUACAUUUUAAAUUAGAGGAGACUAUUAAUCAUUUGGAUGGACAUCUUAUAUUUAGACUUGUUUGAAAUUAACUUAAUAUAUGUGUUGUAUAUAAUACUGUUCAAUUCAUUUUUUUUCCCUACAAAAAUGACAAAUCAAUAAUCUACAGUACUCGUGCAUGCAGGCUUUCUAGUGGUUGUGUAUUCUCAAAAUAUACAUGCUCAUAAACAUCCCCAGCCAAAGUGAAUCAUGUGGCUCAAUAUAUGAAGUGUUUGCACGUUUGACCAAAUGUUGGAAUAUGACGUAUUAUCUAAGUGAAUGUGUCCAUCUGGUCUAUAAAAUCUUGAAUUGUGUAACAUGCAGAUGGUAGGGUCAGAAUUUGGCGUAAACAGUUUGAAUGGCUGAAUCUGUGCUGCUUAUAUCAACAGUGCAGUCUGGUGGCGGAUAUGAAUAACUGUUGCUGGGAAUAUUUUUCUUGGGUUGUAGGCUCCUUGAUACUGUCUAAACAUCAUUCAGAUGUCACAAGAAUACUUCCUUAUGUUUGACACAUGGAAUUCUGUGCUUCAAACUUUUGGAAUGACAAUUGUUAGAACUGGCUUGCUGUAGAAUUCUGUGGGCAAUUCCUUGUUGGCUAUCCAUGUGUGUUCUUUUAUCUGCACACUCUGUUCACAUCCUAAGCCAACAUAGCCUCUGUUUUGAGAUGAUAUGAAAGGUGUGUUGCAUGAACGUGCUGCCAAAAAAUCAGUGAGAACUGGGUGAUUCUAUUGGAACUAUGCCUUAUUUCUAUGUAACCAAGAAUACUGCUCAAUACAACUGAUACAAAGUGCAAGAUGAGUGAAAUGGUCUUCAAAUCCAAAUGUAAAAAACACAAAUUUUAUCAAAUGACCUGGAAGUCUAUUUUGUGUGUAACACACCCACACACUACAAUCAAAUAUGAAAAUUCAAAGUAAAAUAGCAGCUGUCUUGUUUAAAGUUGCUAAAUUUCUAAGUAACUGCUGCUAAUUCUCUUCUAGGUGAUUGAUCAUUUCAGACUUUACCUACAGUAACCAUCUGUCAGUCUUCUGCUCCAUUACCAUGGAAACCAACUCAUCCAUAAGUCUGGUCACUGUGGUAACAUGAGAAAGUAUGUGCUCAGGGUCUCUUGGCUUAAAGAAACACAGAGGCAAGAAAUCAGAAAGGUUUGUCCUUUAAAGAGUUCAUCAGACACCUGCAGAGAACAAAGCAAAUUUAUGUGUGACACUGAAGGGAAGAACCUCUAGCCACACUCAUCUCCAGGUCUAGUAAUUAUUGUCUGUGAAAAACUAUUUUGGAUUAAAAGCUUAAACACAUUUUUUUGUUAUUCUUUGGAAAUUUAUUGCUGC